AGCGAGGAGGAGGCGUCGGUCUCGGCUCUUUAUAAGGGCAGGAAGGUCGACAGUUCAAAUCUGGCCCCCGCUACCA
rnacentral:tRNA from 1 species